rnacentral:lncRNA from 1 species
UUUUCGUUAAAUUUUGAGUUAAUUUUUUCUAACUUUUUGUUAAAUUUUGAGUUAAUUUUUCUAAAACUUUCACAUAGUAUUCUCCUAAGUGGUCUACAUACGCAAAUUCAUGAGAAAAGUCGACGAUUUAAACUAAAAUUUGAGGAAAAGGACCAACUUGAAACUUUUAAAAGAUAAAGGACCAAAUUGAAACCUAAAAUAAACAUAAGAGACCAAAUAUGCAAUUAAUUCUAAUUUUUAACAACCUAAAACCUUCUCAAUCUAGAAUCUUUGUUUGNNN